rnacentral:lncRNA from 1 species
CAACUAUUUGUUAUGCCACCAACACCAUUGCAAUGGAAAGUUAAAUACAUAACCAAUAACAUUCCCAUUUUAGGAAUGUAUUCAAAAUAGGCAUGGAUUCAGAGAAUCCUAAAGUGAGCAAGCUAGGAAUUACCUGACACUUGCAGUUAUAGUGUUGGAGAAAUCUGUUCUGUGAAGUUGUUAUUUUUUGUUUGUUUGUUUGUUUGUUUUGUUUUGUUUUGGUUUGGUUUGGUUUUCUUUUCUUUUGUUUGUUUGUUUAUUUGCUUGUUUGCUUUGGUACAUCUCUUUGGAUUGAGAUGUAACCUUAAAACAGUCUUCUUCUUGCAUGUCUGGAUUCUUUUAGGAGGAAAUCCACAUGCAGGUAGGAAUGGAGUUGCAGUGUGUUUCCAGUUUAACUGCUGAAGGGACCAGGACAGGAGGGAACACCCUAGAGUCCACCCACUCUACCAGCUGGACACAUAACACAUUGUUCUGUGUGACCUGAUGAAAAUGCAGUUUCUGGCAGAUAACCAAAUCAGAGUAGCCCUCUUGCCCAGAAGCCUUGAAAGGUGUCUCCAAAAUGAAGUCUUUUCCUGUCAGACAAAUGAAGUCUAUUCUGAUGUGGCCCCUGAGGGUACUGCUGGCAGAGAUCAGAGUUGACAUAAAUCCAG